UCGAUGGGAAACAGGUUAAUAUUCCUGUACUUGGUGUUACUGCGAAGGGGGGACGGAGAAGGCUAUGUUAGCCGGGCGACGGUUGUCCCGGUUUAAGCAUGUAGGCUGAUUGUCCAGGCAAAUCCGGAUAAUCAAGGCUGAGGUGUGAUGACGAGGCACUACGGUGCUGAAGUAACAAAUGCCCUGCUUCCAGGAAAAGCCUCUAAGCAUCAGGUAACAU
rnacentral:rRNA from 1 species